UUGCUUUCCUCAGCCACAUGUAUACAUACCAUUGGAAGGAUACAGAGAAGAUUAGUAUGGUCCCCACCAAGGGCAACAUGCAAACCUGUGAAGUGUUCCAUGGUUUU